AUUGAACGCUGGCGGCAUGCUUUACACAUGCAAGUCGAACGGCAGCGCGGGCUUCGUCCUGGCGGCGAGUGGCGAACGGGUGAGUAAUGCACCGGAACGUGCCCAGCAGUGGGGGAUAGCCCAGCGAAAGCCGGAUUAAUAUCGCAUACGACCUGAGGGUGAAAGCGGGGGACCGAUAGGCCUCGCGCUAUUGGCGCGGCCGAUGUCGGAUUAGCUAGUUGGUGGGGUAAAGGCUUACCAAGGCGACGAUCCGUAGCUGGUCUGAGAGGACGACCAGCCACACUGGGACUGAGACACGGCCCAGACUCCUACGGGAGGCAGCAGUGGGGAAUUUUGGACAAUGGGGGCAACCCUGAUCCAGCCAUGCCGCGUGCGGGAAGAAGGCCUUCGGGUUGUAAACCGCUUUUGUUCGGGAAGAAAACCUCUGGGCUAAUACCCCGGGGGGAUGACGGUACCGGAAGAAUAAGCACCGGCUAACUACGUG
rnacentral:rRNA from 1 species